GCCCCGGCCCCGCCGGAGGCUCCGGGGGCAGCCCUCAGCAGCAACAGCUGCCGGCCGGGGGGCGCGCACCCCCCGGGGCUCCCCGGGGCUCCCCCGGGCCCCCCGGCGUCCCCCGGCACCGGCACCCGCCCGGCCCCGCCCGGCCCCGGGGGCGGGGGUGCUCCGGGGCGGGGCGGGGGAGCAGGGAGUGAUUUCGCUGAGCCUCCUAAUUUCAGCAGCAAGCAUGAUGCAGGAGCCAGAAGGCAGCAAAAUCUCUCCAGAUGUUAUCGCAGCGGGGAAGGGAAAUCAUCCUCGGUUUAAAGGUAUCUUGUAAAACACUGCUGCCGGCUUGACAGAGCCCUCAGGGCAUCAGCCAGCCCUCACUGCCCUCAAAAGCAUCACCCAGACCCCCCACCCAGCCCAGCAGCUCCAGCUGAGCUCAAGGUGGGACCUUCAGGCUCCCCUUGGGCUGGACUUUGUGUCCAGCCCCAUCUCCUGGGCGGACUUUGGACCCGUGUUGGAGGUAAUCUGGUGUCCAACCCCAUCCCAUCUGCUGUGUGGACCUUGGACCCGCAUUGAGGGUUGGCUGGUGUCCAAUCCCACCUGCUGCACGGACCUUGGACCUCUGCUGAAGGUAACCUGGUGUCUGCCUCUGUCUUCUGCAAGGAUGGUGGGCCUGGGUUGUGUGUCAGGGGCUCACAGCUCAGGGCACCCAUCACUUAUCCCUGCAGCUGCAUCCAGUGUCCCCUGCAGGACACACCCGGCUCCUGGGUGGAUUCUCUGAUGUGUAACGAGGGCCGAGCCUGCGUUGCAGUCCCUGAGUGACAAUGUUCAGUGUGCCUCUUUUCUAUUUUUUUCCCCAAUCCUCUCCUCCAGAAAGCAAUUUUCAUGAAACUUGCAGGAUCUUGAUGAUCUCAGAGACCUCUUUUCUUCCACUAACGGGGCAGAAAGGAGCCAGGGAGCUCCAAAUUACCGGGGAGGAGCUGAGCUGGAUGGAGCACACCUGCACCAGCCCUGCUUUCCCAGGCUCAAAAUACACUUGGCUCCAAACCCAGCUCUCACCGUGCCAGGUCUCUGCUCUGUGAGCAUCGCCCUGGUGGGAAGGGGGGAGAGGGGGGAGCCUGGUGUGCCGGGAUAUAAAGCAGACACUCCAGGACGUGGUUGUGGGAAGGACACGGGGUGAGUGUCGAUGCUGGGGCUGCUGCUCCCCGGCCCUGCUCGGGGUGUCACCUCCCCGUGGGCACCUGAGCUCGCAGGAGGACGGAAAGCAAACAAACACCGGAGCGUGGGCGGGCAGACACCUGCCUCCUGCUCCUCUGCCAGGCGACGGGAGCCGCUCCCAGGCCUCCCUUUCCCGGCGUGAGGCAUGACCGAGGGCAGAGGCCAUGGGAUGGGAGGGGGGCGGGUGGAUCAUCCCAGAUCCCCUCAUUUCCCCUGCUGCUCCGGGCUGCAGCGGAUCGCGGCUCUUUAAGGCUGCAAUAAUCCCCGGCCUGGGAUUAGUUUUGCACCUAAUCACCGCAGAACAAAUACGAAGUUUUAUUUACAGAAGCAGAAGAAAGUCGGGCCGGGGCGGGGGGGAGCUGCAGGGGGGGCCUCGAGCGCGGCUGAUCCCAAGAUAAUCGGGAGCUGGAGGGCGGGAGGCGAUCGCUGACCUUGGACCCCCCUCCCGGGCUCUUACGUAAAUGAGUGUCAUCGAGUGCUGGAGUCACAGCAGUCCUGAGCUCCAGCCCUGUCCCAGCUCGGGCUCGGUGACCCCCCAACCCUUCAACAGCUCAUGCCUGGACUUUGGGGAUUUCUGGCCCUGAUCCAGCCCCUUCCUUAGGCACAUGCUUCACAGGGAACCCACGAGCUGUCAGCUGUGAUGGGAGCCAGGAUUCCGGGGGGGGGUGGAGAUGCUGCAAGGGGAUGCUGAGUUUUCACGCUGGGGAUGGGGGAAGCUGGGUGCUGCAAGUGUGUUGCCCCAAAGCUGGGCUGGUCCCCAGGGAUUUGUGUUUGCACUGGGUUGGGGUGGCAGCUGGAGAGCCCUGUCCUGCUGAGAUCCCAGCCCACCUGCAAGAAGGAGCUGAGCUGCUGCUCGGAGGGUGCCAAGACAUGGGUUUAUUUUUCAUCCAUGCAAACGAACAGCCUGGCAGAGGCAAACCAGGGGGAAGAACGUGCUCUGUCCCUCCCCAAACUGUCCUCUGUGACUCGAGUCUCUGUGGCUUUGCCCACAGGUCAGAGUUGGCUGGUGGGUGACCAGGCAGGGCCAGCUCCAGCCCUGGGCACAGGGGCAGCUCGUGACGGCUCCGUGCCUGCCGGCGCCGGAAUUUCUCUUUCCCCCGAUGCAGACAUUGUCAAAUAAAUAGCUCUUCUCUGCUUUGGCUCUUG